rnacentral:rRNA from 1 species
UGCAGUCGAACGAUGAAGCCCAGCUUGCUGGGUGGAUUAGUGGCGAACGGGUGAGUAACACGUGAGUAACCUGCCCUUAACUCUGGGAUAAGCCUGGGAAACUGGGUCUAAUACCGGAUAGGAGCGUCCACCGCAUGGUGGGUGUUGGAAAGAUUUAUCGGUUUUGGAUGGACUCGCGGCCUAUCAGCUUGUUGGUGAGGUAAUGGCUCACCAAGGCGACGACGGGUAGCCGGCCUGAGAGGGUGACCGGCCACACUGGGACUGAGACACGGCCCAGACUCCUACGGGAGGCAGCAGUGGGGAAUAUUGCACAAUGGGCGAAAGCCUGAUGCAGCGACGCCGCGUGAGGGAUGACGGCCUUCGGGUUGUAAACCUCUUUCAGUAGGGAAGAAGCGAAAGUGACGGUACCUGCAGAAGAAGCACCGGCUAACUACGUGCCAGCAGCCGCGGUAAUACGUAGGGUGCGAGCGUUAUCCGGAAUUAUUGGGCGUAAAGAGCUCGUAGGCGGUUUGUCGCGUCUGUCGUGAAAGUCCGGGGCUUAACCCCGGAUCUGCGGUGGGUACGGGCAGACUAGAGUGCAGUAGGGGAGACUGGAAUUCCUGGUGUAGCGGUGGAAUGCGCAGAUAUCAGGAGGAACACCGAUGGCGAAGGCAGGUCUCUGGGCUGUAACUGACGCUGAGGAGCGAAAGCAUGGGGAGCGAACAGGAUUAGAUACCCUGGUAGUCCAUGCCGUAAACGUUGGGCACUAGGUGUGGGGACCAUUCCACGGUUUCCGCGCCGCAGCUAACGCAUUAAGUGCCCCGCCUGGGGAGUACGGCCGCAAGGCUAAAACUCAAAGGAAUUGACGGG